rnacentral:rRNA from 1 species
AGAACGAACGCUGGCGGCAUGCCUAACACAUGCAAGUCGAACGAGACCUUCGGGUCUAGUGGCGCACGGGUGCGUAACGCGUGGGAAUCUGCCCUUGGGUUCGGAACAACAGUUGGAAACGACUGCUAAUACCGGAUGAUGACGUAAGAUCAAAGAUUUAUCGCCCAGGGAUGAGCCCGCGUAGGAUUAGCUAGUUGGUGAGGUAAAGGCUCACCAAGGCGACGAUCCUUAGCUGGUCUGAGAGGAUGAUCAGCCACACUGGGACUGAGACACGGCCCAGACUCCUACGGGAGGCAGCAGUAGGGAAUAUGGACAAUGGGCGCAAGCCUGAUCCAGCAAUGCCGCGUGAGUGAUGAAGGUCCUUAGGGUUGUAAAGUCUUACUUUUACCCGAGAU